UUUUGGUACCAUGACAUGGGGUAAAUUGGGAUCCUGGGGUAAAUUGGGACAAACCUGCGGAAGAUUCUCAAAGUACCUGUAGCACGGAAUCUACCUAAUUUUGUUUAUGUUAAUAUUUAUCAAUGUAUAGAAGAAAAACCAAGUUAACUAUGGAAGUACUAAAUAUGAGUUAAGUUGGGCCCAAAAAUUCUAUAAAUUAAAUUGAAAAUAGUGGUUGAAAAGUGCGUUUUAAAACAGCUUAAAGAACUUUUAAAAAAAGUAAUAUUAUCGUUGUUUUUUCAAUAAGAUCACAGUUUAUAUAAGUUUUUAAUACACCUGGAAAUACCACAACAAACGAAUCUAUUCACGCGUCGAAUCAUGAUUUUGUUAACAUUCAAAACGCACACACAAAUAAAAACAGGCCUCAGAUUUUAAAUGUAACAUUAAUUAAAAAUCCGAGAUAUCCAAUUAUGAGUGAGUGAAUUAAUUGAGUUUAGUUAUUUAGCUAAGAAAGAAUUUCUUUUAUUUUUGUUAUUAUUGGCAGUAAUCAGAUAAAGCUGUUUUUUUAUCUUAUUCACCUGAUAUCUUACUCUUGCUCAAAGAUUAUUUUGAAAAUGUUGAUUAAAUAAAAUUGUAUUAUUGCA